rfam:Deinococcus peraridilitoris DSM 19664, complete genome.
UUGAAAUCGGGGGCUGGGAAGCCUGCUCUGUAGACGGUCACCUUGAGCAGGGGGAGCAAAUGGUGAGACCGACCCGGCGGAGG